rnacentral:rRNA from 1 species
UUUUGACCUCAGUUCAGACAAGGCUACCCGCCGAAUUUAAGCAUAUUACUAAGCGGAGGAAAAGAAACUAACAAGGAUUCCCCUAGUAACGGCGAGCGAACCGGGAAGAGCCCAACUUGAAAAUCUAAAGGUUGUACCUUUCGAAUUGUAGUCUAGAGACGCGUUCUCUGCGGCGGAUCGGCUCCAAGUUCCCUGGAAAGGGACGUCAGAGAGGGUGAGAACCCCGUCGAAGCCGGUUUCAGUCGCUCCACGAGGCGCAGUCGAGGAGUCGGGUUGUUUGGGAAUGCAGCCCUAAGCAGGUGGUAAAUUCCAUCUAAGGCUAAAUAUUGGCGAGAGACCGAUAGCGAACAAGUACCGCGAGGGAAAGAUGAAAAGACCUUUGAAAAGAGAGUUAAAAAAUACCUGAAAUUGUUGAGGGGGAAGCGAUUCAAACCUGUGGGUGCUCCCGGGGCAGUAGCAAUACACGCGCUCGGGGCUGGUCAACGUGGGUUAGCUUGGAAGGAUAUCACUUCCGAGUUGACCGAGGACUCGACGUUGGCGGAAAGGUUUGCAUUGACCCGUCUAGAAACACGGACCAAGGAGUCUAA